GACAGAGGUCCCGAGCGUUAGGCGGAAUCACUGGGCUUAAAGCGUGUGUAGGCGGACUUCUAAGUACCUUGUGAAAUCCCACGGCUUAACCGUGGAACUGCUUGGUAUACUGGUUGUCUUGGGCCAUCUAGGGGCUACUGGAACAAACGGUGGAGCGGUGAAAUGCGUAGAUAUCGUGAGGAACACCAGAGGCGAAGGCGGCUACCUGGACAAUUGCUGACGCUCAGGCACGAAAGCGUGGGGAGCGAACGGGG
rnacentral:rRNA from 1 species